rnacentral:lncRNA from 1 species
ACUAAUACAUAUUACAGCUCCAAAACAAAAUCGCAUCGAACAUUUUCCGACUCGGUUGAAAUCGAGAUGAUUCCCUUUCUAUUUACUCGACUAAAUCGGUGAGAUUAACCGAAUGAUCAAGUGAGAUACAACAAGGUUUUUCACUUAGUUAACCGGAUUUUCACAUAGUUAAUCUAAUGACAACGUAAAAAUUCGGAAUUGUGACUGAUCAAAACAGAUCCGCCCUGGACGAAUUAAGAAAUUUCGUCUACCAGUAAGAAGUAAAGCAUUUUGAACGAAUUUGGAGAAUUCCAAAAUGAAAAGACGUCUUGAUUUGAUUAAAAUAACAAGUAGCGACGCUUACGAUUUACUAAGAGAUAUCCCAUCGGAUGGAUCUGACGCUAAAAAAAAUUGUUUCAUUCCAUAUCACGCUAAAUAAUUUUUUCAUUUGUGGCCUAGUGGUUCCAUAUGGUACCACCUUUUUUAUAAUAAUUACAAAAAUUUAAUAUAAAAAA